CGGAUAUUGCUCCAAGAGUCUUUUUUGUAGGUACUGAUGCCUUACAUAUGUGUGCCAAUUUUCGUGCAUGUACGUGAAACACAGCUCGAGGGCUGUUGAUUUUUUUACGGUAGGUGGCGCUGUCGAGCCAUUUUGCCACACCCUCUUCUGAAACCUAUAUCAGACGUAAAUUUUCACCAGGUCUGACGCGUGUGCAAAGUUUCAGGACUUUUCGAGCAUGUUUAGGCCCUCAAAAAUGCGAUUCAUUUUGGAGAAGAAGAAGAAGAAGAAGAAUAAUAAUAAUUAAAGCUGCAAGCAGCGAUGAACGGGCCCUCGCACCCGGGCUCUCCACCACCGGGUGGCUUUUGUAAAACAGCG
ensembl:lncRNA